rnacentral:pre_miRNA from 1 species
AUUGGAAUUUCUGGAUAAUAUUGUAAAUAUAUAUUUAACUUUUUAAGAAACUGCCAAAUUAUUUGCCAAAGUGGCUGCACUAUUUUGCAUUUCCACCAGCAU